UGGUUUGAGCGGGCCGGUGGCUGGGCCGCGGGGAAGGGAAGCAGGCUGCGCGCGUUCUGGGCCCGGGCGGAAGGAGAGAAAGGAGGCCAGGGGAAAAAAAGGAGUGGGCCGGGUAAAGAGAGGAGCUGGGCUGGCUGGGGUGUUUCCCUUUUUUUUUCUUUUCUAUUUUAUUUUCCAAAGCAUUAUCAAAUCCAUUUUAAAAUCACUUUGAAUUACUUUUGAACUUUAGUCAAAUCACUCAGCGCAAUAAAAUUAAUUCUCCUGCAUGAAUGCACAAACAAGUUGCUAAGCUCUAUGAUAAAUUUAUUUUAAUGAAAAAUAUUAUUUUCCUAUAUUUCAUGAGCACAAAAAUACAAAUUAACGUAAUUUCUCCUAUUUUUAAAUACUUGCAAACUUUAGGGUGUUACAAAUCUACCCCCUUAAAAUGAAUCUCGUCCUCGAGAUUCGGAAGUGACACGGAUUCCAAAAGGGAGACAAGAACAAGAUCUUGAUAUCUAUUUCAACUUCACAACUUGUAUUCCAAAAGCAACACUCAUG
rnacentral:lncRNA from 1 species